rnacentral:rRNA from 1 species
GACAAACGCUGGCGGCGUGCCUAAUACAUGCAAGUCGAACGACGAAAGCCUUCGGGCAAGUAAGAGUGGCGCACGGGCGAGGAACACGUAGAUAAUCUGCCCUUCAGUGGGGAAUAACUCUCCGAAAGGAGUGCUAAUACCGCAUAAGACCACAAGCUCUGCGGAGCAAGGGGUUAAAGGAUUUAUUCGCUGAAGGAUGAGUCGGCGUCCGAUUAGCUAGUUGGUGAGGUAAUGGCUUACCAAGGCAAUGAUCGGUAGAUGGUCUGAGAGGAUGAUCAUCCGCACUGGAACUGAGACACGGUCCAGACUCCUACGGGAGGCAGCAGUAGGGAAUAUUGCACAAUGGGGGAAACCCUGAUGCAGCAACGCCGCGUGAGUGAUGAAGGCUCUAGGGUCGUAAAGCUCUGUCGUAUGGGAAGAAAAAAAUGACGGUACCCGCAGAAGAAGCCCCGGCUAACUUCGUGCCAGCCGCCGCCGUAA